CGCAGUUUUAACACAGAUAAACAGCGAUUUAUUACGAAACGUGUUCCUCUUCAGAUGUUGUGUUUGAAAUUUCAGUUUGAACGAUACUUCUGAGCACAAGUGUUCAACCACCUACCCAGCUUGACUGAACUGAAGAUGGUGACCCAGGUGUUUAACGAAACGAAAUAAAACACCGCAAGUCAGACACGGCUGAAUCUGAUGUGUAACGAAUGUUUUCUGAGACAACAGAAAAAGGACUCGCUAAAGAUGAAUAUUCAAGAAAGAAGAUUAAACGAAUUACAAACACUUAGUAAAUGAAAUCAAGAAAAAAAGGUUUUGAGUUAGAAACACCAAACGUUAGUGCAUUGCAUAUAACAUUUAUAAACAAAUAA